GAUGAACGCUAGCUACAGGCUUAACACAUGCAAGUCGAGGGACCGGCGCACGGGUGAGUAACACGUAUCCAACUUGCCCUUUACUCGGGGAUAGCCUUUCGAAAGACAGAUUAAUACCCGCUAUAAAGGAUGGGGAUGCGUUCCAUUAGGUUGUUGGUGAGGUAACGGCUCACCAAGCCUUCGAAGGGCAGGGGUUCUGAGAGGAAGUUCCCCCACAUUGGAACUGAGAAACGGUCCAAACUCCUACGGGAGGCAGCAGUGAGGAAUAUUAGUCAGUGGGCGCUAGCCUGAACCAGCCAAGUAGCGUAAAGGAUGAAGGCUUAUGGGUCUUAAACUUCUUUUAUAUAAGAAUAUGUAUUAUAUGAGUAAGGAUCGGCUAACUCCGUGCCAGCAGCCGCGGUAAUUC
rnacentral:rRNA from 1 species